rnacentral:rRNA from 1 species
ACGCUCGACACCUACGGGAGGCAGCAGUCGGGAAUAUUGCGCAAUGGAGGAAACUCUGACGCAGUGACGCCGCGUAUAGGAAGAAGGUUUUCGGAUUGUAAACUAUUGUCGUUAGGGAAGAAAAAGGACAGUACCUAAGGAGGAAGCUCCGGCUAACUACGUGUCAGCAGCCGCGGUAAUCUGAGCGGGCUGGCAAGGC